UACGUAGGGGGCAAGCGUUGUCCGGAAUUACUGGGCGUAAAGAGCUCGUAGGUGGUUUGUCGCGUUGUUCGUGAAAACUCACAGCUUAACUGUGGGCGUGCGGGCGAUACGGGCAGACUGGAGUACUGCAGGGGAGACUGGAAUUCCUGGUGUAGCGGUGGAAUGCGCAGAUAUCAGGAGGAACACCGGUGGCGAAGGCGGGUCUCUGGGCAGUAACUGACGCUGAUGCGCGAAAGCGUGGGGAGCAAACGGG
rnacentral:rRNA from 1 species